GAUGAACGCUGGCGGCGUGCCUAAUACAUGCAAGUCGAGCGAACAGACGAGGAGCUUGCUCCUCUGACGUUAGCGGCGGACGGGUGAGUAACACGUGGAUAACCUACCUAUAAGACUGGGAUAACUUCGGGAAACCGGAGCUAAUACCGGAUAAUAUAUUGAACCGCAUGGUUCAAUAGUGAAAGACGGUUUUGCUGUCACUUAUAGAUGGAUCCGCGCCGCAUUAGCUAGUUGGUAAGGUAACGGCUUACCAAGGCAACGAUGCGUAGCCGACCUGAGAGGGUGAUCGGCCACACUGGAACUGAGACACGGUCCAGACUCCUACGGGAGGCAGCAGUGGGGAAUCUUCCGCAAAGGGCGAAAGCUUGACGGAGCAACGCCGCGUGAGUGAUGAAGGUCUUCGGAUCGUAAAACUCUGUUAUUAGGGAAGAACAAAUGUGUAAGUAACUAUGCACGUCUUGACGGUACCUAAUCAGAAAGCCACGGCUAACUACGUG
rnacentral:rRNA from 1 species